rnacentral:rRNA from 1 species
AAGAAGCAUCAUAUCACCCUGAACACCCAUGAUUCCAUCUGAUUUUGGAAGUUAAGCAAGGUCAGACUUGGUUAGUACUUGAAUGGGGGGGGGGGCAGGAGAGACCGCUGGGUUCUCCAUA